rnacentral:rRNA from 1 species
CAGUAGCCGCGGUAAAACGAAGGGGGCUAGCGUUGUUCGGAAUUACUGGGCGUAAAGCGCACGUAGGCGGACAUUUAAGUCAGGGGUGAAAUCCCGGGGCUCAACCCCGGAACUGCCUUUGAUACUGGGUGUCUAGAGUAUGGAAGAGGUGAGUGGAAUUCCGAGUGUAGAGGUGAAAUUCGUAGAUAUUCGGAGGAACACCAGUGGCGAAGGCGGCUCACUGGUCCAUUACUGACGCUGAGGUGCGAAAGCGUGGGGAGCAAACAGGAUUAGAUACCCCCGUAGUCCCUGUCUCUUAUAC